ensembl:lncRNA
CCUAUAGCCCCCACAACUUACCCCUCACCACCUCCCUACUCACUGCCAGCCCCUAUAGGGUUCCUAUAGCGCCCCCCCCCACCCCACAGCUAUUCUUAGCCCUGACCUUUGCUAUGGGCCAAACCCGGCCCCACAACUUCCAAUAGGGGACCCGAAAAGGGGUCUGUCUGGGACCUAUAGGUUUCCCUUUUCAGGGGGGGUCCCCUAUAGGGGAUACGUGGAUUUGGAUCAAGUAGGGCCCCUUGUAGGAAUCGAGGGGCCCUAUAGGGGUCCUGUUAGGGAUUGAGGGCCUCUAUGGGGCCUCUAUGGGGUUCCUAUAGGAGAAUUAAGGCCACGGGGGGAUCCCUAUAGGGUCCCUAUAGCGGAAUGGAGCCCGGAGGGGGCACCUAUAGGGUUCCUAUGAGGGAACUGAGGCCACUGAGGAUCCCUAUAGGGUUCCUGUUUAGGAUUGAGAGCUCCUAUGGGGUUUCUAUGGAGUCCCUAUAGGAGAACAACGGCCGCUGGGUGUCCCCAUGGGGUUUCUAUAGGGCUUCUCGGGGUCUGAUGGCCCCUAUGGGGUCCCUACAGGGGACUGAAGGCCACUGGGGGUCCUUAUGGGGUUCCUAUAGAGUCCCUAUAGGAGAAGGGGGGUCAAUAAGGGCCCCUGUGGGGUUUCUAUAGGGUCACUAUAAGGGAAUAAAGGCCACUUCAGGCCCUUAUGGGGUUCCUAUGGGAGAAUGGGGGUCGGUGAGGGCCCCUAUGGGGUUUCUAUAGGGUCACUAUAAUGGAAUAAAGGCCACUUUGGGCCCUUAUGGGGUUCCUAUGGGAGAAUGGGGGUCAGUGAGGGCCCCUAUGGGGUUUCUAUAGGGCCCCUAUAGGGGAUUGAAGGCCACUGGGGGUCCCUAUGGGGUUCCUAUGGGAGAAUGGGGGACAGUGAGGGCCUCUAUGGGGUUUCUAUAGGGUCACUAUAAGGGAAUAAAUGCCACUUUGGGCCCUUAUGGGGUUCCUAUGGGAGAAUGGGGGUCAGUGAGGGCCCCUAUGGGGUUUCUAUAGGGUCACUAUAGGGAAUAAAGGCCACUUUGGGCCCUUAUGGGGUUCCUAUGGGAGAAUGGGGGUCAGUGAGGGCCCCUAUGGGGUUUCUAUAGGGCCCCUAUAGGGGAUUGAAGGCCACUGGGGGUCCCUAUGGGGUUCCGAUAGGAGAAUGGGGGUCAGUGAGGGCCCCUAUGGGGUUUCUAUAGGGUCACUAUAAGGGAAUAAAGGCCACUGGGGGUCCCUAUGGGGUUCCUAUGGGAGAAUGGGAGUCAGUGAGGGCCCCUAUGGGGUUUCUAUAGGGCCCCUAUAGGGGAUUGAAGGCCACUGGGGGUCCUUAUGGGGUUCCUAUAGACUCCCUAUAGGAGAAGGGGGGUCAAUAAGGGCCCCUAUGGGGUUUCUAUAGGGUCACUAAAAGGGAAUAAAGGCCACUUUGGGCCCUUAUGGGGUUCCUAUGGGAGUCAGUGAGGGCCCCUAUGGGGUUUCUAUAGGGUCACUAAAAGGGAAUAAAGGCCACUGGAGGGUCCCUAUGGGGUUCCCAUAGGAGAAUGGGGGUCAGUGAGGGCCCCUAUGGGGUUUCUAUAGGGUCACUAUAAGGGAAUAAAGGCCACUUUGGGCCCUUAUGGGGUUCCUAUGGGAGUCAGUGAGGGCCCCUAUGGGGUUUCUAUAGGGUCACUAUAAGGGAAUAAAGGCCACUUUGGGCCCUUAUGGGGUUCCUAUGGGAGUCAGUGAGGGCCCAUAUGGGGUUUAUAUAGGGCCCCUAUAGGGGAAUGAAGGCCACUGGGGGUCCUUAUGGGGUUCCCAUAGGAGAAUGGGGGUCAAUAAGGGCCCCUAUGGGGUUUCUAUAGGGCCCCUAUAGAGGAAUGAAGGCCCCUGGGAGCCCUUAUGGGGUCCCUAUAGGAGAACGGGGGUGAGUAAGCACCCCUGUGAGGAUUCUAUAGGGUCCUCAUAAGCGAAAAGAACCCGGUGGGGAUUCCUAUAGGGUCCCUGUUAAUGGCUGAGGGUCUUUAUGGGGUUCCUAUGAGGUCCCUCACCCGUCCAUAGGCGCCGCCGCCGCCCCUAUAGCGCUCCCAGCGAGGGACCCCCUAUACCCCCCCAUUGGUUCCUUCCGCCUUUUGCCCCGCCCCUUCCGG